UUGGCGAUCCCUGAGACAAACACGACACUACUCACACCUCCAACCCAGGAAACCGAUGGACCGAUCCUCCACGAAAAUUGCUUCCCCUCACAUUCACAUCCAGGUGCGCAUGGCAGACGAAGUCGAGGCGCCAUUGUCAGAGCAGCUGGCGGCACUAACAUGGCCUCUACCCGAGAGCAGAGCUAGCAGCCCACUGCCAUGGACCCUGCCCUCUGGGAGCGGAGGUGCGCUGGGCUGCGCCUCGACGUUGUCAUCAUCAUCGUUCCAUCCCAGGAAAGCUUCGUCUUCUCCAUUCGCCAUAUCAGCAUCAUCCUUCAUUGCAGCGGCUUGAAUCUCAUCAGGGUUGCAAUCAGCUGUCAACUGUCUGAUCGCAGGACCUAACGAGCCACCACCGUG
rnacentral:lncRNA from 1 species